CAGACGCCUCCCCUCAGUCGCCAUGGCCUGCUGCUCACCAUGUUUCCGGAAGCGAAAGGGAGAUAGCAAAAAGGGUCAGAAGAGAUGAGAGCCGCUGCAGCUGCCGCCGGGAUCCGACUGAACGCGGCCUCUCCCGGCCCCUUCCGUUUAGUAGGAGCCGCACAAUGAGGGGCGGGGCGGGCUUCCGGCGCUCCCCCCACGGGGCGACGGGAAAUGAAGUCCAAGGGUCCUGCGCCGUCUUUUUGGCCAGCCGGCCUCUCAGGGCCCUAUUACAUGCUGGGAAACGUAGUUCGAGACAGCCAAGGGGGGCGGUGCUGUGGCGCGGAGAGCACGCCCAUUGGUCCACUUUUCCAGGAAACGCUCAGCUGGGCAGAGGCCCCUAGCUCUAGGUAAUGUGACCCGAAAAUGAGCCUCGACCUCGCCGCUCUUUAACCGCCGCGAAACUGUUUCUUAUGAUCCAUCUUGGCACCUUCUGGUCUGAAAAUUUUGGGUUUAGUAUUUUGCUUUUCUGAACUGAAGUAACUAUUUAUUGGCCUGGAAUCCAGUCCUGGAGCAAGAGGAAUCGCAAGUGUAAAGCGUGUUCAACCCGAUAAACAAUUCGUUGGGCACCCUCCAUAUGCAAAGCCACUCGUUUCCUGGGAAAGACCAUAUGCAACUUCAAUAAAAUUAAAAUAAGACACAAGAGAGACUCUACAAGGAAGUCUUUAAGAAUAUAGCUUUGUUCUUGUUUUAAAGAUAGAUGGCAAAUUCACGAAACGGGUUUAUGUCAAUUUAAAGACUGCGCCUUUUACUAGACACGGUGAAAAGAAUAGAUAUUAAGCCAGACUCGAAUCACGUCCUCGAGUUAACAGCCAUGCAUACGGUUAACUUAAAACUCGCAAAAAUUAAGACACAGCUGUGUUAGCUUAAGUUUCUGAAAAAGAAGCCGGUGGGGACUACGGAAAGUUUUCCUUGGCCUCGAACAACGAUCAUGCCUUAGUCUUUGCCGAAAGGGUCACAAAUCAGGGAUCUGAGGGCCUAGAUCCCAUCAGCGGAAUAAAGAGUGUAAAUGAAGAGCUGGAAGCCCGGUCUUCAAGACCGGGAGUGGGGCGCUUCGCAGGGCAUGCUGGGGAUUGUAGUCAAGGACGUCCCGCUGCAUCGCUCACCCCCCGAGUUCCCGGAAGCCCCAGGUGGAGGCCGCCGCUGGACCCACAGCCCGAUGUCCUUCCUACAAAUACGCCUGCACUUACUUGCCCCACCCUCCACCUCUUGGGCUUCUCAGAAGCCCAGCGUCUCUCCGGCAUCCUCAGCAAAGAAGGCGCUGCGCUCCCUCCGGCGGUACCCACUGCCCCUGCGCAGCGGCAAGGAAGCUAAGAUCUUGCAGCACUUCGGAGACAGGCUGUGCCGUAUGCUGGACCAGCGGCUGCAGCAGCACAAAGCAUCGGGGGGUGACCAUGCCCGGAGUUCACCUUCUGGAGAGAAGAGUUCAACCCCAGAAGGGCCACCUGCGAGAGUGCGAGACUCUUCCGUGCCAAUUCCAGCCCAGCCCAAAGCAGGAGGCUCUGGCAGCUACUGGCCAGCUCGGCACUCAGGAGCACGAGCAGUACUGCUGCUGCUUUACAGGGAACGCUUGAAUCCUAGUGGCCGUAGUUUCCUAACGAAGGAGGAGCUGCUGCAGAGAUGUGCUCAGAAAGCUCCCAGGGUGGCUCUUGGGAGUACUCGACCCUGGCCAGCCCUCCGCUCCCUCCUCCACAGGAACCUGGUUCUCAGGACACACCAGCCAGCCAGAAUUUUAGGAACAGCACUCCAGAGAGGAGGAAGAAGUUUGUCUGAAAUGUGCUUGUUGCAGACUAGGAAACAUUCCUGGGCAGGUCCAAAAGAAGCUGAUCUGAGGAGCAAGAGCACAGCCUGUCGGUGGAGGUACUCGCUGACUCCGGAGGGUCUGGAGCUGGCCCAGAAGCUGGCUGAGUCAGAGGGCCUGAGCUCACUGGAUGUGGGCUUCAGGCCAGAGGAGCCCCCUGGGAAGGAGCCAGAAGUGCCAGGAGCGGCCUCUGCUGAGCUUGGUGCUAGUGAAGGGAGUGUCCAGCAGCUGCCACUGGAGCUUGGGCCUGGAGAGUACAGGGUGCUGUUGUGUGUGGACGUUGGCGAAGCCAAGGGGGCAGGGCACAAGCCAAAAUUGCUCCUGGAGCUACAGCGGCUGCACGUGACCCAUGUAGUGCGCAAGUUGCACGUCGGGGACUUCGUGUGGGUGGCUCAGGAGACCAGGCCCAGAGACCCAGCAAGACCUGGGGAGCUCGUCCUGGACCACAUCGUGGAGCGCAAGCGGCUAGAUGAUCUGUGUAGCAGCAUCAUAGAUGGCCGCUUCCGAGAGCAGAAGUUCCGGCUGAAGCGCUGUGGUCUGGGGCACAGAAUAUACCUGGUGGAGGAGCAUGGCUCUGCACACCACCUUAGCCUUCCUGAGAGCACGCUGCUGCAGGCUGUCACCAACACUCAGGUCAUCGAUGGCUUCUUUGUGAAGCGCACAGCAGACAUCAAGGAGUCAGCUGCCUACCUGGCCCUCUUGACACUGGGCUUGCAGAGGCUCUACCAGUGACUUCAACGCAGGAGCCAUGAAGAACAAGGCCCAGUGUGUGCAGGAGGUGUUCGCCAGGCAGCUGAUGCAGGUGCGGGGAGUGAGUGGGGAGAAGGCAGCAGCCAUAGUGGGCCAGUACAGCACCCCUGCCAGCCUCCUGGCCGCCUAUGACGCCUGUGUCACCCCCAAGGAACAGGAGAUGCUGCUGAGCACCAUCAAGUGUGGUCGACUGCAAAGGAAUCUGGGGCCUGCUCUGAGCAGAAUCUUUUCCCAGCUCUACUGCUGCUACAGCCCUCUGACCUGAGGCAUCCCGUGAGGCCGACUACACCACCACCCCCCACCUUCAUGGGCUAGCCAGCCUUUUAAGCCACUGGGCUACAAUAAAAAUAUAAGUAUUUGCAGCUUGAUGUAUUAUGGAGGUGAUGCCAGGGACUUUGUGAAGUAUCCAGGCAGAAAUUGGGGAGACCAACAGAUCCAGUGGUUUUUAAACUGAGCUCUAAGGACCCUGGGGUUCCCUGGGAGAGCACUGAGACCACCAAGGAGAUGGAGUCAGUGAGGCGUUACAACUUUGAAUCUAGUUUAUAUCAUCAGAGUUCCCUGAUAGGAUCAAAUAUCCUUCCAUAAUAAGUUCUGUGUUUUGGAAAAGAAAUAUGUGGAAAGCACUAAUCUUAAUUGCCUCAUUUUAUAGAUUGGAAAACUGAUGCCCAGAAAGAAUCUACUAGGGUUUAGUCAAAUUGAUAGUUUGAGGCCAAACUGGGAUUAGAA